GUGCGGCGUUAAUGGGCAGCCACUUCUUGACAAGGCAAGUAAAAGACACACUCACUGCAACAACAACAACAACAAAAAAUCCACAUCAAACUGAGUUUGGCUAUGAAAGAAAACGUGAUUAUCGGAUUCACCUUGAAGUAGAUCCAACUGAACCCUGGAUAUUCUCGCUUGGAAAGAACACACAGCGUCAGUGAGUAAAACGCACGAUAAGCACGAGCAGGGGAAAUGAGAAACACAAAACAGGACGGACAAGAUCUCUCUUCCAGCGCUUAGCACAAAAUUGUUUUUCUCAACAAGUCCGUGCUUUACAUCGAAAGAAGAGAGAAUUUGGGGGCUCGUCGCUCAAAGGAUGAGACAUAGACGAGAUGUGCACGUCUGGCCAUAAACAAAAAUUCCCAAGCUAUGAGGACUGAAAGAGAAGAAAGACAGAAAAAAGUGAGACUGGCUGGAAUGGACGGCUAAUAUGAAGAGAGAGAGAGAGAGACUAUCAGGGAGUAAGUAAUUAAAAGGAAGGAUGAAAGUCCAUUUCUGCUUGAGCAGCUGCAGCCCGCGAAGCCAAUCUGUGUGUGUGAGCAUUCUCGCCGUGGGUGAUUGGAGCACAUUACACCCGAGAGCAAGCUUCAGCGGCAGUUAGCAGAAGAACACCUGCUUCGGGAUCAAAAUAUCAACAAAAGGCCACGUCCGCAGAGGUGAACGGGAAUGGCAGCCGCAAAGACUCAAUCUGCGGGUGGCGUUGAAAUCUAAUUGACAUCGGCGAGGUGCGGUGUGGUUCCUCACCACUGUCAACCACAACAGUAAUAAACAUAUUGCUACCGUUGAAUUACUCCAUCAUCAAUGGAAUUAAUUACCAGGGAACGUAACCGCCGUGUGACUGACUUCAUCUCGUCGUUUCAAACUCAUCUUACAUUGCCCUUAAAAAUAAAUGCCUCGCAAAUGAUUUGAUUUUGGAAAAAAAAUAAAUAAAAUACACCAGAUGUGUAUGCGGGCGGCCCGGUAGCCCAGUGGUUAGCACGUCGGCUUCACAGUGCAGAGGUACCGGGUUCGAUUCCAGCUCCGGCCUCCCUGUGUGGAGUUUGCAUGUUCUCCCCGGGCCUGCGUGAGUUUUCUCCGGGUGCUCCGGUUUCCUCCCACAUUCCAAAAACAUGCGUGGCAGGCUGAUUGAACACUCUAAAUUGUCCCUAGGUGUGAGUGUGAGCGUGGAUGGUUGUUCGUCUCUGUGUGCCCUGCGAUUGGCUGGCAACCGAUUCAGGGUGUCCCCCGCCUACUGCCCGGAGACGGCUGGGAUGGGCUCCAGCACCCCCCGCGACCCUAGUGAGGAUCAAGCGGCUCGGAAGAUGAAUAAAUGAAUGAAUGAAUGAAUGUUUUCAGUUUAACUUGCAACAAUUCGAUGGAAAUAUUUCAUCACCUUCAACGAUGAAAUUAACGUGAUUGCAAUGCAGACAAAGGAAAUACAAAACUCUCGCCCGGAAAAAAAAACACACGCUACGACUAAAACACAAAACAAACACAUUGAAGUGACUCCUUCUCAGCCUCACAGCAGUUCCACAGCCUGUUUUCUCCAAUUCAAAGUCUGCGGAUAAAAGACUGUUUAAUGCCUGCGCUGUUGGUUUGCAACGGUGCUGUGUGCCUUUGAGAAAGAACAGAGUACCGGUAAAUAAAUAGGGAAGGAGUAAAUGCAAGUCGACAGGGGGGGGGGGGGGAUGAGAGUCAUGCACAGCGCUACGCAGCUACGGCAGCUCCAGCUGAAAGAGAACAGCCAGCCUCUAUUUUUGCGGUUAGGAGCAACUAGGACUGGCAAAAAAAAAAAAAAAAAAAAACACAAUACAAUGCAAAUCAAAAGAAGCUUCACGUGGCUCUUUCAGACACAUACAUUCCAGCCAACAUUCCCAGAGGCUCGUGUUCUAGAAUGACGGGUAGCGAUGC